rnacentral:rRNA from 1 species
GGCGGUUUCUUAAGUCUGAUGUGAAAGCCCCCGGCUCAACCGGGGAGGGUCAUUGGAAACUGGGGAACUUGAGUGCAGAAGAGGAGAGUGGAAUUCCACGUGUAGCGGUGAAAUGCGUAGAGAUGUGGAGGAACACCAGUGGCGAAGGCGACUCUCUGGUCUGUAACUGACGCUGAGGAGCGAAAGCGUGGGGAGCGAACAGGAUUAGAUACCCUGGUAGUCCACGCCGUAAACGAUGAGUGCUAAGUGUUAGGGGGUUUCCGCCCCUUAGUGCUGCAGCUAACGCAUUAAGCACUCCGCCUGGGGAGUACGGUCGCAAGACUGAAACUCAAAGGAAUUGACGGGGGCCCGCACAAGCGGUGGAGCAUGUGGUUUAAUUCGAAGCAACGCGAAGAACCUUACCAGGUCUUGACAUCCUCUGACCCUUCUAGAGAUA